GUUAGAGUAUCUUUUCAGGCUCCUCAGAGCCUCCUCUGUUCAGUCUUGCCGUAUCCUCCGUCUUCUCAUGCGGCAGCACAUCCAUUUUGGCAGUCGUUCCUUUCUCGGAGUUCUCUCUCCUCGUUGCACCACAGCACUUGUCUGGAAAUGUGUCGUUGGAGUUUGUGUUCGGCCUGGAACUGCUCUGCCCUGCAGUGUAGACUUGGGACGUCAGAGGGACUGGAUGUAAAGCAGAGAUAAACAGAAGAGGCCGGAGGAGCACAAUCAGAAGGUGGGUUGUCAUGUGAGAUGCAGAGCCCCCGGCCCAGCAGACAAUAGGCACCAGAGGGAAGGUGAGCCCAGUGAGCAAGGUGAGCAGUG